CCUACGGGUGGCAGCAGUGGGGGAUAUUGCACAAUGGGGGAAACCCUGAUGCAGCGACGCCGCGUGGGCGAAGAAGUAUUUCGGGAUGUAAAGCCCUAUCAGCAGGGCAGAAGAAAUGACGGUACCUGAGUAAGAAGCACCGGCUAAAUACGUGCCAGCCGCCGGGGUAAUACGUAUGGUGCACGCGUUAUCCGGAUUUACUGGGGGUAACGGGAUCGCAGGGGGCACGGCAAGCCUGAUGUGAACGCCCGCGGGCCAACCGCGGGACUGCGUUUGGAACUACCGGGCUGGAGUGCCGGAGAGGUAGGCGGAAUUCCUAGUGUAGCGGUGAAAUGCGGAGAGAUUAGGAGGAACACCAGUGGCGAAGGCGGCCUACUGGACGGUGACUGACGCUGAGGCUCGAAAGCGUGGGGAGCAAACAGGAUUAGAUACCCCUGUAGUC
rnacentral:rRNA from 1 species